rnacentral:rRNA from 1 species
ACUCAAAGGAAUUGACGGGGGCCCGCACAAGCGGUGGAGCAUGUGGUUUAAUUCGAUGCAACGCGAAGAACCUUACCUGGGCUCGAAGUGCUUUGUAAACCCAUGAAAGUGGGCUAGUCCCGCAAGGGACGCGAAGCAUAGGUGCUGCAUGGCUGUCGUCAGCUCGUGUCGUGAGAUGUUAGGUUAAGUCCUGCAACGAGCGCAACCCUUGUCCUUAGUUGCCAUCAGGUUAUGCUGGGAACUCUAAGGAGACUGCCGACGUCAAGUCGGAGGAAGGUGGGGAUGACGUCAAGUCCUCAUGGCCCUUACGUCCAGGGCUACACACGUGCUACAAUGGCCGGUACAGAGCGUCGCAAGACCGCAAGGUGGAGCUAAUCGCAAAAAACCGGUCUCAGUUCAGAUUGUCCUCUGCAACUCGAGGACAUGAAGUUGGAAUCGCUAGUAAACGCGGAUCAGCAGGUCGCGUUGAAUACGUUCCCGGGCCUUGUACACACCGCCCGU